AUUGAACGCUGGCGGCAGGCCUAACACAUGCAAGUCGAACGGCAGCACAGAAGAGCUUGCUCUCUGGGUGGCGAGUGGCGGACGGGUGAGUAAUGUCUGGGAAACUGCCCGAGGGAGGGGGAUAACUACUGGAAACGGUAGCUAAUACCGCAUAACGUCGCAAGACCAAAGUGGGGGACCUUCGGGCCUCACGCCAUCGGAUGUGCCCAGAUGGGAUUAGCUAGUAGGUGGGGUAAUGGCUCACCUAGGCGACGAUCCCUAGCUGGUCUGAGAGGAUGACCAGCCACACUGGAACUGAGACACGGUCCAGACUCCUACGGGAGGCAGCAGUGGGGAAUAUUGCACAAUGGGCGCAAGCCUGAUGCAGCCAUGCCGCGUGUAUGAAGAAGGCCUUCGGGUUGUAAAGUACUUUCAGCGGGGAGGAAGGCGGUGAGGUUAAUAACCUCGCCGAUUGACGUUACCCGCAGAAGAAGCACCGGCUAACUCCGUGCCAGCCGCCGCCGUAA
rnacentral:rRNA from 1 species